ensembl:miRNA
GAGACACGGUGCCCUUGGCUGCUCAGUAGUCAGUGUAGGAUCUGUCCGACAGUCUCACUAACAGCUACAUCUGAUUACUGGGUCACCAAAGGACCACCACCGCGCUGCAUG